ACCCAAUGAUGAGACCAAGGCGAAUACGAGCUUACUGAAUGAGAGUUGGGUUCUUCUUGCCUUGAUUGGCAGGUAAUCUUGGUGGUGUAGAGGAGUAUUUCUGCUCUGCUGUAAGGGCCUGCCUACAUAAACUUGGCUCGACCUAAAUUGUUCCUUUUAAGCACAUUGGAGUAAUCACAGGGAAGACGCCAACAGUGUGUAUGUUUGUGUGUGUGUGUGUGUGCAUGCGUACGAGGCAAGGAGUUCACCCAGCUCUCUUUGCUAUUCAGUCAGCCGUGAGUUGCUUCUUUGGUAAUCUGAGGGUC